GGACCAAGGAGUCUAGCAUGUGCGCGAGUCAUUGGGACUCUAACUAAACCUAAAGGCGCAAUGAAAGUGAAGGUCCGCCAUGCGCGGACCGAGGGAGGAUGGACGGUCCCGAGGGACCGCCCCGCACUCCCGGGGCGUCUCGUUCUCNCGUUCGAGAAGAGGCGCACCCAGAGCGUACACGCUGGGACCCGAAAGAUGGUGAACUAUGCCUGGUCAGGACGAAGUCAGGGGAAACCCUGAUGGAGGUCCGUAGCGAUUCUGACGUGCAAAUCGAUCGUCGGAACUGGGUAUAGGGGCGAAAGACUAAUCGAACCAUCUAGUAGCUGGUUCCCUCCGAAGUUUCCCUCAGGAUAGCUGGCGCUCGCUUCUCGCGAGUCUCAUUCGGUAAAGCGAAUGAUUAGAGGCAUUGGGGUCGAAACGGCCUCAACCUAUUCUCAAACUUUAAAUGGGUGAGAUCUCCGGCUUGCUUGAACUGUGAAGCCGCGAGAUAUCGGAUCAGAGUGCCAAGUGGGCCACUUUUGGUAAGCAGAACUGGCGCUGUGGGAUGAACCAAACGCUGAGUUAAAGCGCCUAAAUCGACGCUUAUGGGAUACCAUGAAAGGCGUUGGUAACUUAAGACAGCAGGACGGUG
rnacentral:rRNA from 1 species